rnacentral:tRNA from 1 species
GGUUGUGGCUCAGUGUCAGAGCGCUUGCCUAGCAUGUGUGAGGCACUGGGUUCGAUUCUUAGCACCG